rnacentral:misc_RNA from 1 species
UGCGACUCACCUGCGUCGUCUUCUCACCCUCUUCCAAGUCGUCCUAUCAGCUUCAUGCGCAACUACAACAACUUCAACCGCGUGUGGAAGGCGCCGCGUCGUCCGUUCGAGAAGGAGCGCCUCGACCGCGAGAUGAAGCUGUGCGGCCAGUACGGUCUGCGCUGCAAGCGUGAGAUCUGGCGUGUGAACAUGACGCUGUCCAAGAUGCGCCGCACGGCCCGUCUGCUGCUGACGCUGCCGGAGAACCACCCCCGCCGUCUGCUUGAGGGCUCCGCCAUCAUGCGCCGCUGCCACGAGUAUGGCUUCCUCGACGAGGAGAAGGACAAGCUGGAUUACGUGCUGUCGCUGACGGUGCCGGACAUUCUCGAGCGCCGCCUGCAGACCAUCGUCUUCAAGGCCGGUCUCGCCAAGUCCGUGCACCACGCCCGCGUCCUGAUUCAGCAGCGCCACAUCGCCGUCGCCAAGCAGAUUGUGACGAUCCCGUCCUUCAUCGUGCGCGUGAGCAGUGAGCGCCACAUCGCCUUUGCUGAUGCUUCGCCGUUCGGCAACGGCCGCCCUGGCCGCGUCAAGCGCGUGCGCGCGAAGGCCGCCAAGCGCCACGCCGGCGGCGGCGAUGACGACGAGUAAGUCGCCAGUUAGACGAGUGGAUGGUUCGUGCCUUUGCCGAGGGAGGAGAGUGGAGAGAAAUGCGAGUUGGACAGAUUGAACACGCGAGAGGGUCCGUCUAGGGACGGCGCUCUGAGUGCAACGUGUCUGCGCGACACACGUGAGCGCAUGUCUCUCUCUGUCUGUGUGUAGUAUGCUUGUCGCUCGUUCUCUACGCUCUUCAGCUCCUCCCGCGUCCACCUAUGGCGAUGAUCCGAAAGGCUGCACUGCCCACGCCGUCGCCGCCGCGCGCCGAGAGACAAGCAUGCACCCUACCUUCACGGAGCGGCACCGGUUUCCUCGGACUCGCAGGGUGUGAGGGAAAGCCGUUGUCGAUGGUGAUGGCAAUGGACGCUUGCUUGCCGCUGGUGCUGCGGUGGUGGUGGUGGUGAUGUCCGCGAUGUCCGUGGUGAUGUUGGAGGUGACGUACCGCCCCCUCAACGCACUUCUCCGUCCUUCGUUUUCCGUUUUCUGUUUGUUCUUUCCCUUCGUUUUCGCCUCUGUUCU